AACGUAGGACGCAAGCGUUAUCCGGAGUUACUGGGCGUAAAGCGCGGGCAGGCGGCCUCGCAAGCCUGAUGUGAAAGCACUCUGCUCAACAGAGUGAUGCCAUUGGAAACUACAAGGCUGGAGUCUGGCAGAGGUAGGCGGAAUUCCGGGUGGAGUGGUGAAAUGCGUAGAUAUCGGGAGGAACACCAGUGGCGAAGGCGGCCGCCGAGCCUGCAACUGACGCUGAAGCGCGACAGCGUGGGGAGCAAACGGG
rnacentral:rRNA from 1 species